AAAGACCCUCAUGAUUACACUGGGCCCACCUGGACGAUGCAGGCUACAUAUGCUCGCUCUCUUAAGGUCAGCUGAUUUUUAGCAGCCUUCAUUCCAUUCCAUCUGUCACCUCACCUCCCCUCUGUGGUGUAACCUGACAUCUUCAUCUGCUCCGGGCAGUAGGUCAUGGACCUCUUUUGAGGGCCAUUAUUCUGCCAACUGCAGCCUCCCAGAGGAGGUGACACUUGGGCUGAGACCAGACGUGCCACGCACAGAGCCAGGGAAGGAGAGUUCUGACAUCAGGAGCAAUGAGUGGAUGGCUGAGGAGCCCAGCUAGAGAUGAAGGACAGACUACCUCUAGAUUCGUCUCUGAUGUGACGGUGGAGACAGGAGUCAAGGUGGUCCCCAGCCUGCCGAGCAGGACGCAGGACGCAGACCGAGAUGCUCCAACCCCCUCUGGACUUACGAGCUACAUGACGUGGACGCUCCAUCUCUGUGCCUGUUCGCUUUCUUCUCGACGCUGCACAAUGACCUCUGACAAAUAUUCUGAGAAUAUACCGAGAAGAGUCUACACCCAACGCCUGGAGGAGUUUGACGAUCCGCCUCAAUUCUUUCUUUCUAGCAGGCUCCAAACCAAUUUAAUCACCAACUUUCUCUUUUUUCGAGAAAAUGGCGGAGACAAAUAUUAAACCUUACUGAGAUGUGAACUUUGUGUCUUGCAUGCAAACAAGGCCCUGAGUGUUUGUGAACGAACUUCAGUGAAGCCACCGUACUUCCUUUUUGACCUACAAAAUGCCUUUGACCUUCCCCACAAGUGAGAGCAAAUGAUGAACGUGAAAGAUGAUAUUUUAAAAACUCUGUAUUCAAUUAUUCACACCAAAGGAUAUCCAUUAAAAUUAUGAACAUCUCUAAAUAUAUUUCAUGUAUCAUACAUAUAUAUACUUUAUAUGUAUAAUUACAUAUCGACAAAAGAUUUCUGGCUGCUCUAAGCAUGUAAGUAAAACAAAGAUAGAUUUUGCAACGUAACACCCAUAUAUGCAUAUAUACCAGCUGUUUGAAUUAUGAAUUUAUUUACAACUUGCUUAGGUUAGAAUAAGUGAUUACUGUUCUAUUGUACAAACAUAACAGGUUAGGGUUUCUUUAAAUACAAAGACUGCAAAUGAAUACAUGAAAAAAUUACACACAUGUACAAUAUUUAUAAUUU
rnacentral:lncRNA from 1 species